rnacentral:rRNA from 1 species
GAUGAACGCUGGCGGCGUGCUUAACACAUGCAAGUCGAACGGAAAGGCUCCUGCUUGCAGGGGUACUCGAGUGGCGAACGGGUGAGUAACACGUGGGUGAUCUGCCCUGCACUUCGGGAUAAGCCUGGGAAACUGGGUCUAAUACCGGAUAGGACCACAUUUUGGAUGGUGUGGUGGAAAGUUUUUCGGUGUGGGAUGAGCUCGCGGCCUGUCAGCUUGUUGGUGGGGUAAUGGCCUACCAAGGCGUCGACGGGUAGCCGGCCUGAGAGGGUGUACGGCCACAUUGGGACUGAGAUACGGCCCAGACUCCUACGGGAGGCAGCAGUGGGGAAUAUUGCACAAUGGGCGCAAGCCUGAUGCAGCGACGCCGCGUGGGGGAUGACGGCCUUCGGGUUGUAAACUCCUUUCGCUAGGGACGAAGCGCAAGUGACGGUACCUGGAGAAGAAGCACCGGCUAACUACGUG